AUGAAGUUCAUUUCACCUGAAGAAUGUGGAGGUACUGGACCAUUUAUGCAGGGGAAUACAUACUCUGGGAAUAUGAAUGAAGAACAUCAGUCUAACUUUGUGGCUAUCCAACAAACACAGAAACAGUCCCACCAGAUCACCAGCAGAAGAUACAUUUAAAAUGGGGUUAGUUGCGGAAGAAAGAAAGAAAGCAACCACAUGAAAAGGUGUAGUACUAAAUGGCACUUGUGCAAUCAAGUGAUGUAGUUGCCCUGAGGAUUGGCGCACAAUGGGCAUGAUUCAUGGAACAGUUAUUCCUGCACCAGGUGGUUAAAACUCUGUAAUGACAGGUUUACAAGGAAAUCAUCUUUUAUUUUUCUCACCACGUGUGUGAAUCAAUGGAUCUGCAAGAGGAAUCAUGAUUCUCAGUUACGUUAUAUUGGGAAUGCUGGGUCUGCUGGAAACAAGUUCGUCCCCUUCUCCAAGCAAGGGCAUUUCAGAAGACUGCCAAAACCUGCGCUAGUAUCAGAAUGGCACUGAAGAUACACCCUGCCCAAAGCACAAGCUUGCUCUUGGGAAUUCCAUGAAUGCUGUGCUGUUCUUCAUCUGCUCAGAAAGUUGAAAAAAUAUAUAAACCAAACAAUUAAAAAUAAGGAAAACCUUUCGUAGCAAUACUUGAGAUUUCUGCGUGGAAGCGGAGGGUCAAAGAUAGGCAACUUACCCAAAAAAAGAAUGGAAUGAAGAACUAGCUGAUAUUUCUCAGUGAUUAAACGAGGCAGAAAAGUAAAUUAAUUAAGGCCUACAUGCUGUAAGAACUCUGUAAAAAACAAAGCAAAACAAACAACCAGCUGUUGGUGCAGUACAAAUAUCUUUCCUGAUUUAUUUUUAAUUGUGAGAAGGAGAUGAGGGGGAGAAAGGCACUAACAGCCUUUGCCAAGCGUUCAGUGAUUCUCAUAUACCUGAUUCCCAGCUGCAUCUCACUCAUUAUCACUCUUGUGAGCAUAACACUUCUCUGCAAAUGCUCCAGCCACUUAGAUUUUUGAAGAGGGUUUUUCAACAAGGAUGGAAUGUGAUAAAUGCAAUUUAAACAAGGCACUUAAUAAACUUGUUUGUAUUAGAUUACA
rnacentral:lncRNA from 1 species